CCAGCAGCCGCGGUAAUUCCAGCUCCAGUAGCGUAUAUUAAAGUUGUUGCAGUUAAAAAGCUCGUAGUUGGAUUUCUGGCUUGACAUGCCUGGCCCGCUAGCAGACAAUGCUUGUGAGUGCCGGCGCGUGUCUGCCAUCCUUCUAGAAAACGGUGCUACCUUUCAUUAGGCCGGCUCCGCGAUCUAGAUCUUUUACUUUGAAAAAAUUAGAGUGUUCAAAGCAGGCUUGCGCUAUGAAUACAUUAGCAUGGAAUAAUAAUCUAGGACUUUUGUCUUAUUUUGUUGGUUUCUAAGAUGAAAGUAAUGAUUGAUAGGGAUAGUUGGGGGUGCUAGUAUUCAGCGGC
rnacentral:rRNA from 1 species